rnacentral:rRNA from 1 species
UAUUGGUCAAUGGACGAGAGUCUGAACCAGCCAAGUAGCGUGAAGGAUGACUGCCCUAUGGGUUGAAAACUUCUUUUAUAUGGGAAUAAAACGUUCCACGUGUGGGCUUUUGUAUGUACCAUAUGAAUAAGGAUCGGCUAACUCCGUGCCUGCAGCCGCGGUAAUACGGAGGAUCCGAGCGUCAACCGGAUUUAUUGGGUUUAAAGGGAGCGUAGGUGGAUUGUUAAGUCAGUUGUGAAAGUUUGCGGCUCAACCGUAAAAUUGCAGUUGGAACUGGCAGUCUUGAGUACAGUAGAGGUGGGCGGAAUUCGUGGUGUAGCGGUGAAAUGCUUAGAUAUCACGAAGAACUCCGAUUGCGAAGGCAGUUCACUGGACCGCAACUGACACUGAGGCUCGAAAGUGUGGGUAUCAAACAGG